UGGAGAGUUUGAUUUUGGUUUAGGAUGAAUGUUGGUGGUAUGUUUAAUAUAUGUAAGUUGGAUGGAAAGUAUUUUUUGGUGUUUUUAGUGGUGGAUGGGUGAGUAAUGUGUAAGAAUUUGUUUUUGGGAGGGGGAUAAUAGUUGGAAAUGGUUGUUAAUAUUUUAUAAGUUGAGGAGUAAAAGGAGGAAUUUGUUUAAGGAGGGGUUUGUGUUUGAUUAGUUAGUUGGUGAGGUAAUGGUUUAUUAAGGUGAUGAUUAGUAGUUGGUUUGAGAGGAUGAUUAGUUAUAUUGGGAUUGAGAUAUGGUUUAGAUUUUUAUGGGAGGUAGUAGUGGGGAAUUUUUUGUAAUGGGUGAAAGUUUGAUGGAGUAAUGUUGUGUGGAGGUAGAAGGUUUAUGGGUUGUAAAUUUUUUUUUUUAGAGAAGAAGUAAUGAUGGUAUUUGAGGAAUAAGUAUUGGUUAAUUUUGUGUUAGUAGUUGUGGUAAGAUAGAGGAUGUAAGUGUUAUUUGGAAUGAUUGGGUGUAAAGUGUUUGUAGGUGGUUUUUUAAGUUUGUUGUUAAAUUUUAGGGUUUAAUUUUGGAUAGGUGGUGGAAAUUAUUAAGUUGGAGUAUGGUAGGGGUAGAGGGAAUUUUUGGUGGAGUGGUGAAAUGUGUAGAGAUUGGAAAGAAUAUUAAUGGUGAAAGUAUUUUGUUGGGUUGAUAUUGAUAUUGAGAGAUGAAAGUUAGGGGAGUGAAUGGGAUUAGAUAUUUUAGUAGUUUUAGUUGUAAAUGAUGGAUAUUAAGUGUUGUGUGUAUUGAUUUGUGUAGUGUUGUAGUUAAUGUGUUAAGUAUUUUGUUUGGGGAGUAUGUUUGUAAGAAUGAAAUUUAAAGGAAUUGAUGGGGGUUUGUAUAAGUGGUGGAGUAUGUGGUUUAAUUUGAUGUAAUGUGAAGAAUUUUAUUAGGGUUUGAUAUGUUGUGAAUUUUUUUGAAAGAAAGGAGUGUUUUUGGGAAUGUGGAUAUAGGUGGUGUAUGGUUGUUGUUAGUUUGUGUUGUAAGGUGUUGGGUUAAGUUUUGUAAUGAGUGUAAUUUUUGUGUUUAGUUGUUAUUAUUUAGUUUGGAAUUUUAAAUAGAUUGUUGGUGAUAAGUUGGAGGAAGGUGAGGAUGAUGUUAAGUUAGUAUGUUUUUUAUGUUUUGGGUGAUAUAUGUGUUAUAAUGGUUGGGAUAAAGGGUUGUGAUUUUGUGAGGGUAAGUUAAUUUUAAAAAUUUGGUUUUAGUUUGGAUUGUAGGUUGUAAUUUGUUUGUAUGAAGUUGGAAUUGUUAGUAAUUGUUGGUUAGUUAUAUGGUGGUGAAUUUGUUUUUGGGUUUUGUAUAUAUUGUUUGUUAUAUUAUGGGAGUUGGUUAUGUUUGAAGUUGUUAUUUUAAUUGUAAGGAGGAGGAUGUUGAAGGUAGGGUUAGUGAUUGGAGUGAAGUUGUAAUAAGGUAGUUGUAUUGGAAGGUGUGGUUGGAUU
rnacentral:rRNA from 1 species